rnacentral:rRNA from 1 species
GAUGAACGCUGGCGGCGUGCCUAAUACAUGCAAGUCGAGCGAACAGAUGAGGAGCUUGCUCCUCUGACGUUAGCGGCGGACGGGUGAGUAACACGUGGAUAACCUACCUAUAAGACUGGGAUAACUUCGGGAAACCGGAGCUAAUACCGGAUAAUAUAUUGAACCGCAUGGUUCAAUAGUGAAAGACGGUUUUGCUGUCACUUAUAGAUGGAUCCGCGCCGCAUUAGCUAGUUGGUAAGGUAACGGCUUACCAAGGCAACGAUGCGUAGCCGACCUGAGAGGGUGAUCGGCCACACUGGAACUGAGACACGGUCCAGACUCCUACGGGAGGCAGCAGUAGGGAAUCCUGCGCAAUGGGCGAAAGCCUGACGGAGCAACGCCGCGUGAGUGAUGAAGGUCUUCGGAUCGUAAAACUCUGUUAUUAGGGAAGAACAAAUGUGUAAGUAACUAUGCACGUCUUGACGGUACCUAAUCAGAAAGCCACGGCUAACUACGUG